rnacentral:lncRNA from 1 species
AAUUAAAUUAUUUUAUUGAAUAGGGAAUUAAUUGGAGACUAUGAAUAAAAAGGGCAUGAAGAAGUUCAAAUUGAGAAGGAAUAAAGAUUAAAUUGGAAGACAAAAAUACAGUAAAAAUUUGAUAAAACCGAGUGGAAGAAAUCAAAGCAAUUAAUCCAAUUGAGAAAUGUUGAAUAAUUAAAAGAUUUAAUUUUUUCCAAUUGGCAAUUGGAGUACACGUGCAUGGCAUUGCAAAAGUGGAAAGCAUUUAAACGGGCCCGCAAUUGACUUUCAAAAGUUGGAAUUAAUGGCUUUUGGUGGCGUUAAAUUGGAAAAGGAUUUCAAUUAGAAUUGAAAAAUGAUUUCUUUAUUCUUGUUGGAGAAGAAUUCGGUCAAUUAGCAUUAUAAAAAGAGAUUGCAGCCGCUGGACAGAAAAAAAAGAGGAGGGCAGAUGCAAAUCGGCAGCAAGAGAAUUUGAGAUUGCAGCCGCAAGAAGGAAAAAUCAGCAGUCGGAAUUCAAUUGAAGAAAAAGGCAGCUGACACAACUUAAAAGUAAAUUUUAACUCCCAAGUAUAAGAGUAUCUUGUUGUAUUAUAACUCGGUAAGUCCGAGGUCGAUCCACAAAGAAAAGAUUUAAUUAGUUUAUUUUACCUUAUCUAAAAAUUAAAAUUAAAACUUAAAUAUAAACAACUUAAUUUAAAUGAAACUAUGGAAUUGAACUAGUUAGGGUUAUGGAUCCACUCUUAGAAAUAAAUAAAACUUAAUAAAUUCUUUUUGCCAAUUUUUUUUAGAUUUGUUACCCAAAAGAUUAAUUAUACAAAUUAUUAUUAUUUUCCCUUUAAUUUUAUGAUGGAUUAAGUAUUUAUUGUGCCAAAAUUUAAUUUGUCUACAAUAAGUCAAAAUACCAUUUCACCAUGCCUUAUAUUAAAAUCUUAAGAAUUUAUUGUGCCAACUUCAUUUGUUUGUCUACAAUAAAUCAAAAUUACAA